UGCUUACCAUGCAGUCGAACGAAUAACCCACCUUCGGGUGGUUAUAAAGUGGCGAACGGGUGAGUAACACGUGACCAACCUACCUUCUACUUUGGGAUAACUCAGAGAAAUCUGUGCUAAUACCGAAUACUCCGUAACCAUCGCAUGGUGGUUUCGGGAAAGUUCCGGCGGUAGAAGAUGGGGUCGCGGCCUAUUAGAUUGUUGGUGGGGUAACGGCCUACCAAGUCAGCGAUAGGUAGCCGGGUUGAGAGACUGAUCGGCCACAUUGGGACUGAGAUACGGCCCAGACUCCUACGGGAGGCAGCAGUGGGGAAUUUUGCGCAAUGGGCGAAAGCCUGACGCAGCAACGCCGCGUGCGGGAUGAAGGCCUUCGGGUUGUAAACCGCUUUCAGUAGGGAAGAAUUUGACGGUACCUACAGAAGAAGCUCCGGCUAACUACGUGCCAGCAGCCGCGGUAAUACGUAGGGAGCAAGCGUUAUCCGGAUUUAUUGGGCGUAAAGCGCGCGUAGGCGGUUUGUUAAGCGAAGUCUCUAAUCUGAGGGCUCAACCCCCAGCCGUACUUCGAACUGGCAGACUCGAGUUUGGUAGAGGAAGAUGGAAUUCCCAGUGUAGCGGUGAAAUGCGCAGAUAUUGGGAAGAACACCAAUGGCGAAGGCAGUCUUCUGGGCCACAACUGACGCUGAGGUGCGAAAGCUAGGGGAGCAAACAGGAUUAGAUACCCUGGUAGUCCUAGCCGUAAACGAUGGGCACUAGGUGUGGGGGAGAAUUCUCCUCUGUGCCGCAGCUAACGCAUUAAGUGCCCCGCCUGGGGAGUACGGUCGCAAGACUAAAACUCAAAGGAUUUGACGGGGGCCCGCACAAGCAGCGGGAGCAUGUUGGCUUUAUUUCGAAGCAACGCGAGAAUCUACAGCUGCAUUAGUGACGCGACUCUGCAAGCGGAAACGUCAUGG
rnacentral:rRNA from 1 species